rnacentral:tRNA from 1 species
UCCUAGGUAGCUCAAUGGCGGAGCACUCGGCUGUUAACCGAUAGGUUGUGGGUUCGAAUCCCACCCUGGGAGCCA